AACCUGCCCAGAAGCGGGGGACAACAUUUGGAAACAGAUGCUAAUACCGCAUAACAACGUUGUUCGCAUGAACAACGCUUAAAAGAUGGCUUCUCGCUAUCACUUCUGGAUGGACCUGCGGUGCAUUAGCUUGUUGGUGGGGUAACGGCCUACCAAGGCGAUGAUGCAUAGCCGAGUUGAGAGACUGAUCGGCCACAAUGGGACUGAGACACGGCCCAUACUCCUACGGGAGGCAGCAGUAGGGAAUCUUCCACAAUGGGCGCAAGCCUGAUGGAGCAACACCGCGUGAGUGAAGAAGGGCUUCGGCUCGUAAAGCUCUGUUGUUAAAGAAGAACACGUAUGAGAGUAACUGUUCAUACGUUGACUCUAUUUAACCAGAAAGUCACGGCUAACUACGUGCCAGCAGCCGCGGUAAUACGUAGGUGGCAAGCGUUAUCCGGAUUUAUUGGGCGUAAAGAGAGUGCAGGCGGUUUUCUAAGUCUGAUGUGAAAGCCUUCGGCUUAACCGGAGAAGUGCAUCGGAAACUGGAUAACUUGAGUGCGGAAGAGGGUAGUGGAACUCCAUGUGUAGCGGUGGAAUGCGUAGAUAUAUGGAAGAACACCAGUGGCGAAGGCGGC
rnacentral:rRNA from 1 species